rnacentral:rRNA from 1 species
GAUGAACGCUGGCGGCGUGCCUAAUACAUGCAAGUCGAGCGAACAGAUGAGGAGUUUGCUCCGCAGACGAUAGCGGCGGACGGGUGAGUAACACGGGGAUAACCUACCUAUAAGACGGGGAUAACUGCGGGAAACCGGAGCAAAUAGCGGAGAAUAUAUUGAAGCGCGGGGUUCAAGAGUGAAAGACGGUGUUGCUGGCACUUAUAGAUGGAUCCGCGGCGGGUUAGCUAGUUGGUAAGGUAAAGGCUUACCAGGGCAACGAUGCGUAGCCGACCUGAGAGGGUGAGCCGCCCCACUGGAGCGGAGAGCCGGUCCAGACUCCUACGGGAGGCAGCAGUAGGGAAUCUUCCGGAAUGGGCGAAAGCUUGACGGUGCAACGCAGCGUGAGUGAUGAAGGUCUUCGGAUCGUAAACCUCUGUUAUUAGGGAAGAACAAAUGUGUAAGUAACUAUGCACGUCUUGACGGUACCUAAUCAGAAAGCCACGGCUAACUACGUG